GCCCAGAUGGCGGAACUGGUAGACGCACUAGCUUCAGGUGCUAGCAGCUUAAUUGCUAUGGAAGUUCGAGUCUUCUUCUGGGCA
rnacentral:tRNA from 1 species